rnacentral:lncRNA from 12 species
GGUGCUACCUUUGGGCAUGGAGGGGACAUCUCUGCCAGGACUCCUCCUGAGGCUUGUUUUUUCUCCUGGCAGUUCGGUUCCUGGGGUGGCUGUUCUCGGGGCUGGCAGGGGCCUGGCGCCGCCUCACCGGCACGGCUUCCCACCUGGACAGAGUCCCCUUCUCCAGGCGCUACCCACGUCUGAAGAGGUCCCUGCUGCUGCUGCUGCUCCUCCUACUCCUCGCUGCAGCUGCCUACGGAGCUUGGUACUUCUACCCCUAUGGGCUGUCAACACUCAGCCUGCCUUCCUUCCCAUGGUGGGGAGCUGGAAAACUUUCCUCCUCCUCUGAUGUUCCUGGGGCAGGGGACCUGACCA